ACAUGAAUACAACAUAACGUUAAUGCAUCAAAUCCCAUUAGAACUCCACAGUUAAGCGCGCUCAUGCUAGAGUAGUAUUGGGAUGGGUGACCGCUCGAGAAGUCCUAGUGUUUUACAUGCC
rfam:Picea glauca, whole genome shotgun sequence.